rnacentral:tRNA from 1 species
GGCGCCGUAGACCAACGGCAGAGUCAGCGGUCUGAGAGGCCGUCCAGUGAGAGUUCGAAUCUCUCCGGCGCCA